GGCGCCCUCCCUCGAGCUGCCGGUCGGGCACGCUUGCGGGCGUGCGGAGCGCUACCAGAAAACAUUGUGGAACCUUCUGGACAAGGGGAUGCAAAGAAGGAAAAGCCAAGUGGAGUGUGGGCACACGCAGACCACCCCGAUGGUGUUGAUUUCCAUGACUUAAAUCAUUCAAUCCAGAACUGGUCCCCACUUCCCUAAGUCCUCCACAGAACCAUGGAACACAAGCCCCAAUGUAAAGAGACUCCUAUGAAGACUUCCCCUAGGAGGCUUCAUGCCCAGUGCAGAGUCCAAGAU